CGAGGACGACGCUGGCGGCGUGCCUAACACAUGCAAGUCGAACGGGGUCCAAGGAAGCUUGCUUCCUGACGACCUAGUGGCGAACGGGUGAGUAACACGUGAGAAACCUGCCUCGGAGUGGGGAAUAACUCGGGGAAACUCGAGCUAAUACCGCAUACCUUCAGAUGAUCGCAUGGUCGACUGAAGAAAGAAUUUCGCUCUGAGAGGGUCUCGCGGCCUAUCAGCUUGUUGAUGGGGUAACGGCCUACCAAGGCAACGACGGGUAGCUGGUUUGAGAGAACGAUCAGCCACACUGGGACUGAGACACGGCCCAGACUCCUACGGGAGGCAGCAGUGGGGAAUCUUGCGCAAUGGGCGAAAGCCUGACGCAGCAACGCCGCGUGCGGGAUGACGGCCUUCGUGGUUGUAAACCGCUUUCAGCAGGGACGAAAUUGACGGUACCUGCAGAAGAAGCCCCGGCUAACUACGUG
rnacentral:rRNA from 1 species